UUAAGGUAACGUCCAACAGGAUAAAAAAAAAGCACCAGGCUUACCUAAAGUUUAACCCUGAAUCUGGGUCUUGGUGUUAGUCUGGUAUUAUUAAAUGAAUACACCUACUUAGGUAGGCCUGCCUACGUCACCAUAGUCAGUAGGCAUACAGGUAUAACGAGACAUAGCCUAGUUGAGUCGUUGCCCGUGAUUUUCUUUCAUGAUUGUUUUUGUGGUAGAAUAUAUUUGUGUAUAUUUGUAUUUAUGUAUCUUGAGUAUUUGUUGUAUUAUUGUCCCUUUAAUAUAUUAGUUAUUUAUGGUAUAUUUGGUGUUCGUUGUAUUGUCCCUUUAAUAGUACAUCUCUAAGCUGCUUAAGAAUAUCUUUACAACAGCAAGUCUAAAUUCUACUCACUUUUAACUCACUAAAAUAACCACAUCUCAGCUUCUCUUUCAAUUUGCACUUGCAUCUUAGCCUUGUUACAAGGAGGAUCACAUUCUGUCACUUGUCUUAUGUAAUACUGUGUCUGAAUGGUAGCCAUAUUUAAGACAUCAACCCUUUUAUAAACUCCUAUUUUAUAGGAGUUUUUUUUUAUCUGUAUACUAAAUUGAUGAUCCACAAUAAAAUCCUGAACCCAUGACCUGGUGUUUUGUUCGUCUUUGUGAAUAGAGUGAUACUAUGGGUAGAGGCAAAACUACAAAAAGGUUAUCUCGCCCAAGCUCCAUCCCAUAUGCUCAGGGUCGGCGGGUCGCAACUGACAAAAGACAGAGAGGAGAAAGCAGAAAUGACAAUGAUGGGGAAAAUGAAGCUAUCUCUGAUAUACAUGUAGACUCACCCACUAGGCCUACUGCUAGCAGAUCCCUUUCUGAUUCAGCAAACCUUGAUACAGUGGUUAAAGUUCCGACAAGAAGCUACAGAGGCCAAAGAAGAUCCCCAACCGAUACCAGUACUAUUUCACAGAAUGAUAUCCAAUCUGAAGUCAGAUGUUUGUUAGAUGCAUCCAUAUCGCAAAACACACAGGCAGCAUAUGAGACUGGUUUAACAUCUUUUGAGAAUUAUAGGUCAAUUUAUAUACUUUCCUGUAUUUGGCCACCUUCGCUCAACCGUGUGGUGGGUUUUAUUGGAUAUCUCUCUCUGAGGAAUUUAACAUACUCUACAGUUAGAUCCUACAUUUCAGCAAUUGCCUCUAAAUGCAAAGUUAUGAAUGUGCAGGAUA